GUGAGAUUCGGCUCCUCCCAACGCGUCUUGUGCCCUGAGAGCUUCUACCGUGGCAGGGGUGUGGGCUGCGGGCGGACUCUGAGGCUUGUAAGGUACAAGUGGACUUCACUUACUGGCCACUCUGCAUUCUGCUGACCUUAGAAAGAAGUGAGGACAUAUUUGAUGUCCUUUUAUUUAGCUAGAAACCAGAGGCGACCUUUGGAAAUACAAGGUCUUAACAGGAUGGGGAUGCUGUGACUUUGGCAUUUCCAUGAUUAGAAACACAGGAGGCAGUAGAAACAAGUAAAAUGGUAUCACAAGGAAGCCAACAGACACAUCCAACCUACAAGCCAACUGUCUGGGUAUCUUCAACAGGACAAAACGUGGCCUAGGUAGCUGCUUGCCCAAAUGAUGAGAGGCGUGGAGCAGACCUGAACCCAACAUAUACAUUCCAUGGAGCCAAGUCUAUCCUGCCCACAGCAGACCCUGCAGCAGAGGUAUGCAGCAGAACUCAGUCUGCAUCACCCAAACCAUAGUUGCCCUGAAGACUG